UGCACCGCACAGACAGCUGUUUGGAGCCAUCAAUCUGGUGUGUCAGGAACUGGUUCUUCUUCCUCCAACUGACAUCUGGAAAGGUAUCUGGGGAAGUAUCCACAGGAGUCAUCACGGAGUAAUUUUUCCCCUUUCCAGGCAUGCGUCCAAAAUGGUGACUUUCCUGAAAGAUUUCAAAAGGUGAUCACAUGAUCCUGGGACACUGCAACUGACAUAAAUGCACACCAAACCAAGUGGGUGGCUUGGUGUGUAUCAUGGGAAUGCUACAAUGGUUUCUUGAUUCCUGGCAGCGGCUUGGACCAGUUCCUGCAGUAUCCUUGGAACAAUUUCAAAAGUGGUUUGCCAUUGCUUGUUUCUUAGGACUGAGAUGGCUAGGACAAUUUAAAGUGGGA